AUUUGUGGGCCUGUUUGGAAGAAUACUGAAGGCCAAUUAUCUUUCUUAAGACACGCUGUUACAGCAUCACCUGAUGUAUUUACAUUUUCACAUUGUACAAGGAAGCUGGCACACACUGAUUCACUUGAUCUUUCAAAUGUUCAUGGAAACGAGGCAUGGAUUUGUUUAGACCUUCUUGAGGUUUUAUGUCAACUAGCCGAGAGGGGCCAUCUUACCUCUAUUCGCUUG
rnacentral:misc_RNA from 1 species